GGGUGCGAGCGUUAAUCGGAUUUACUGGGCGUAAAGCGUGCGUAGGCGGCUGAUUAAGUCGGAUGUGAAAUCCCUGAGCUNAACUUAGGAAUUGCAUUCGAUACUGGACAGCUAGAGUAUGGGAGAGGAUGGUAGAAUUCCAGGUGUAGCAGUGAAAUGCGUAGAGAUCUGGAGGAAUACCGAUGGCGAAGGCAGNCAUCUGGCCUAAUACUGACGCUGAGGUACGAAAGCAUGGGGAGCAAACAGGAUUAGAUACCCUGGUAGUCCAUGCCGUAAACGAUGUCUACUAGCCGUUGGNGCCUUUGAGGCUUUAGUGGCGCAGCUAACGCGAUAAGUAGACCGCCUGGGGAGUACGGCCGCAAGACUAAAACUCAAAUGAAUUGACGGGGGCCCGCACAAGCGGUGGAGCAUGUGGUUUAAUUCGAUGCAACGCGAAGAACCUUACCUGGUCUUGAAAUAGUAAGAACUUUCCAGAGAUGGAUUGGUGCCUUCGGGAACUUACAUACAGGUGCUGCAUGGCUGUCGNCAGCUCGUGUCGUGAGAUGUUGGGUUAAGUCCCGCAACGAGCGCAACCCUUNUCCUUAUUUGCCAGCACUUCGGGUGGGAACUUUAAGGAUACUGCCAGUGACAAACUGGAGGAAGGNGGGGACGACGUCAANUCAUCAUGGCCCUUACGACCAGGGCUACACACGUGCUACAAUGGUCGGUACAAAGGGUUGCUACCUAGCGAUAGGAUGCUAAUCUCAAAAAGCCGAUCGUAGUCCGGAUUGGAGUCUGCAACUCGACUCCAUGAAGUCGGNAUCGCUAGUAAUCGCGGAUCAGAAUGCCGCGGUGAAUACGU
rnacentral:rRNA from 1 species